rnacentral:rRNA from 1 species
GGUUGAUCCUGCCGGAGGUCACUGCUAUUGGGAUUCGACUAAGCCAUGCGAGUCGCGAGGGUUCGGCCCUCGGCUGACGGCUCAGUAACACGCGGAUAAUCUGCCCUUAGGUGGAGGAUAAUCUCGGGAAACUGAGAAUAAUAUUCCAUAGAUUUAGGAUGCUGGAAUGCACUUAAAUUAAAAGCUUCGGCGCCUAAGGAUGAGUCUGCGGACUAUCAGGUUGUAGUCAGGGUAACGACCUGACUAGCCUACGACGGAUACGGGUUGUGAGAGCAAUAACCCGGAGAUGAUAUCUGAGUCACGAUAUCAGGCCCUACGGGGCGCAGCAGGCGCGAAAACUUCGCAAUGUGCGAAAGCACGACGAGGGAAUCCCAAGUGCUGGCUCGUUAGAGUCAGCUGUUUUUAUGUCUAAAAAGCAUAGAGAGUAAGGGCUGGGUAAGACGGGUGCCAGCCGCCGCGGUAA